rnacentral:rRNA from 1 species
ACUCAAAGGAAUUGACGGGGGCCCGCACAAGUGGUGGAGCAUGUGGUUUAAUUCGAUGAUACGCGAGGAACCUUACCUAGGCUAGAAUGCGCGUGACCGACUCAGAGAUGGGUCUUUCCUUCGGGACACAAAGCAAGGUGCUGCAUGGCCGUCGUCAGCUCGUGCCGUGAGGUGUUGGGUUAAGUCCCGCAACGAGCGCAACCCCUAUGUUUAGUUGCCAUCAGGUUAUGCUGGGGACUCUAGACAGACUGCCUGCGCAAGCAGUGAGGAAGGCGGGGACGACGUCAGGUCAUCAUGGCCCUUACGCCUAGGGCUACACACGUGCUACAAUGGCCGGUACAGAGGGUCGCUACACAGUGAUGUGAUGCCAAUCUCAAAAAACCGGUCUCAGUUCGGAUCGGAGUCUGCAACUCGACUCCGUGAAGCUGGAAUCACUAGUAAUCGCGUAUCAGCAAUGACGCGGUGAAUACGUUCCCGGGCCUUGUACACACCGCCCGU